AAAACUACUUUCAGGGAUAAUUUCUAUAGUUAUUGAUUUGGAAAUGUGUUUCAAAAGUGUUUGUCUACCUACUCACGAUGGUGAGUAUUGAUGCUCCUUUCUGAGCAGAGAUCAGGCAUGGAGAUAUGGCUUUGAUCAUGGAUCUUUGGUGUUGAUAAUUGUUCUGUAUUGCUUUUGGCAACAGAGAGUAAAGGUGUGUGAUCAGAGUGGU